rnacentral:rRNA from 1 species
GAUGAACGCUGGCGGUGCGCCUAACACAUGCAAGUCGAACGGGAUCAUUCAGGAGUUUACUUCAGAAUGUGAGAGUGGCGGACGAGCGAGUAACACGUAAGUAUCUGCCCCGUACUCAGGGAUAACCGGCUGAAAGGUCGGCUAAUACCGGAUAGUCUCGAAAGAGUAAAGCUUUCGCGGUACGGGAGGAGCUUGCGGCUUAUCAGUUUGUUGGUGGGGUAAUGGCCUACCAAGACUAUGACGAGUAACUGGUGUGAGAGCAUGACCAGUCGCGAUGGGACUGAGAUACGGCCCAU